CGAACGGGUGAGUAAUGCGUGACCAACCUGCCCCAUGCUCCAGAAUAGCUCUUGGAAACGGGUGGUAAUGCUGGAUGCUCCAACUUGACGCAUGUCUUGUUGGGAAAGUGUUUAGUGGCAUGGGAUGGGGUCGCGUCCUAUCAGCUUGUAGGCGGGGGGUAAUGGCCCACCUAGGCUUCGACGGGUAGCCGGCCUGAGAGGGCGGACGGCCACAUUGGGACUGAGAUACGGCCCAGACUCCUACGGGAGGCAGCAGGC
rnacentral:rRNA from 1 species